CUGCGAAUGGCUCAUUAUAUAAGUUAUCGUUUAUUUGAUAGUACCUUACUACUUGGAUAACCGUGGUAAUUCUAGAGCUAAUACAUGCUAAAAAUCCCGACUCCGGAAGGGAUGUGUUUAUUAGAUUAAAAGCCAAUGCCCCCCGGGGCUCCCUGGUGAUUCAUGAUAACCCCUCGAAUCGCACGGCCUUGCGCCGGCGAUGGUUCAUUCAAAUUUCUUCCCUAUCAACUUUCGAUGUUUGGGUAUUGGCCAAACAUGGUUGCAACGGGUAACGGAGGGUUAGGGCUCGACCCCGGAGAAGGAGCCUGAGAAACGGCUACUACAUCCAAGGAAGGCAGCAGGCGCGCAAAUUACCCAAUCCCGAUCCGGGGAGGUAGUGACAAUAAAUACUGAUACAGGGCUCUUUCGGGUCUUGUAAUUGGAAUGAGUACAAUUUAAAUCCCUUAACGAGGAACAAUUGGAGGGCAAGUCUGGUGCCAGCAGCCGCGGUAAUUCCAGCUCCAAUAGCGUAUAUUAAAGUUGUUGUGGUUAAAAAGCUCGUAGUUGAACCUUGGGCCUGGCUGGCCGGUCCGCCUCACCGCGUGCACUGGUCCGGCCGGGCCUUUCCCCCUGCGGAACCCCAUGCCCUUCGCUGGGCGUGGCGGGGAGGCAGGACGUUUACUUUGAAAAAAUUAGAGUGCUCCAGGCAGGCCUAUGCUCGGAUACAUUAGCAUGGAAUAAUGGAAUAGGACGCGCGGUUCUAUUUCGUUGGUUUCUAGGACCGCCGUAAUGAUUAAUAGGGACAGUCGGGGGCAUCAGUAUUCAAUUGUCAGAGGUGAAAUUCUUGGAUUUAUUGAAGACUAACUACUGCGAAAGCAUUUGCCAAGGAUGUUUUCAUUAAUCAGGAACGAAAGUUAGGGGAUCGAAGACGAUCAGAUACCGUCGUAGUCUUAACCAUAAACUAUGCCGACUAGGGAUCGGACGAUGUUAUUUCUUGACGCGUUCGGCACCUUGCGAGAAAUCAAAGUGCUUGGGCUCCAGGGGGAGUAUGGUCGCAAGGCUGAAACUUAAAGAAAUUGACGGAAGGGCACCACCAGGGGUGGAGCCUGCGGCUUAAUUUGACUCAACACGGGGAAACUUACCAGGUCCAGACACGAUGAGGAUUGACAGAUUGAGAGCUCUUUCUUGAUUUUGUGGGUGGUGGUGCAUGGCCGUUCUUAGUUGGUGGAGUGAUUUGUCUGCUUAAUUGCGAUAACGAACGAGACCUUAACCUGCUAAAUAGCCCGAGCCGCUCAGGCGGCGCGCCGGC
rnacentral:rRNA from 1 species